GAUAAACGCUGGCGGCGCACAUAAGACAUGCAAGUCGAACGAACUUAACCUAUUCUUAACGAUUAGGAGCGGUUAGUGGCGGACUGGUGAGUAAUGUAUAAGUAACCUGCCUAUCAGAGGGGAACAACAGUUGGAAACGACUGCUAAUACCGCAUAUGCCAUAAGAAUCACAUGGUUCUAGUGGGAAAGGAGCAAUCCGCUGAUAGAUGGACUUAUAUCUGAUUAGCUAGUUGGUGUGGUAACGGCAUACCAAGGCGACGAUCAGUAGCCGGACUGAGAGGUUAAACGGCCACAUUGGGACUGAGAUACGGCCCAG
rnacentral:rRNA from 1 species